rnacentral:rRNA from 1 species
GAUGAACGCUGGCGGCGUGCCUAAUACAUGCAAGUCGAGCGAACAGACGAGGAGCUUGCUCCUCUGACGUUAGCGGCGGACGUGUGAGUAACACGUGGAUAACCUACCUAUAAGACUGGGAUAACUUCGGGAAACCGGAGCUAAUACCGGAUAAUAUAUUGAACCGCAUGGUUCAAUAGUGAAAGACGGUUUUGCUGUUACUUAUAGAUGGAUCCGCGCUGCAUUAGCUAGUUGGUAAGGUAACGGCUUACCAAGGCAACGAUGCGUAGCCGACCUGAGCGGGUGAUCGGCCACACUGGAACUGAGACACGGUCCAGACUCCUACGGGAGGCAGCAGUAGGGAAUCUUACGCAAUGGGCGAAAGCUUGACGGAGCAACGCCGCGUGAGUGAUGAAGGUCUUCGGAUAGUAAAACUCUGUUAUUAGGGAAGAACAAAUGUGUAAGUAACUAUGAACGUCUUGACGGUACCUAAUCAGAAAGCCACGGCUAACUACGUG